rnacentral:rRNA from 1 species
GACGAACGCUGGCGGCGUGCCUAAUACAUGCAAGUCGAACGCUGAAGGAGGAGCUUGCUUCUCUGGAUGAGUUGCGAACGGGUGAGUAACGCGUAGGUAACCUGCCUGGUAGCGGGGGAUAACUAUUGGAAACGAUAGCUAAUACCGCAUAAUAGUAGAUGUUGCAUGACAUUUGCUUAAAAGGUGCAAUUGCAUCACUACCAGAUGGACCUGCGUUGUAUUAGCUAGUUGGUGGGGUAACGGCUCACCAAGGCGACGAUACAUAGCCGACCUGAGAGGGUGAGCGGCCACACUGGGACUGGGACACGGCCCAGACUCCUACGGGAGGCAGCAGUAGGGAAUCUUCGGCAAUGGACGGAAGGCUGACCGAGCAACGCCGCGUGAGGGAAGAAGGGUUUCGGAUCGGAAAGCUCUGGUGUAAGAGAAGAACGAGUGUGAGAGUGGAAAGUUCACACUGUGACGGUAUCUUACCAGAAAGGGACGGCUAACUACGUG